AGAGAUGUAGCUCAGUUAAUCAUAUGCUUCGCAUGUAUGAGGACCUGGGUUCAAUCCCCAGCAUCUCCA
rnacentral:tRNA from 1 species